CAGUCGCCGCGGGAAUACGGAGGGAGCUAGCGUUGUUCGGAAUUACUGGGCGUAAAGCGCACGUAGGCGGCUUUGUAAGUUAGAGGUGAAAGCCUGGAGCUCAACUCCAGAAUUGCCUUUAAGACUGCAUCGCUUGAAUCCAGGAGAGGUGAGUGGAAUUCCGAGUGUAGAGGUGAAAUUCGUAGAUAUUCGGAAGAACACCAGUGGCGAAGGCGGCUCACUGGACUGGUAUUGACGCUGAGGUGCGAAAGCGUGGGGAGCAAACAGGAUUAGAUACCCGGGUAGUCCCUGUCUCUUAUAC
rnacentral:rRNA from 1 species